CACGCACACCAGCAAAGCAAAGCCUCCUCGUCUCUCAUAACUGCGAGGAGGAACAUCUUCACUGACACACUUUUGUGGUUUAGGCAUGAAAGAAAUAUCCGAAACGCACAAAUCUCCACACCUUCGUCGUCGCUGGCGUGGAUGGAACGUGCUUCUGGGAGACUGGAUGAUACCAGUAUAUCCACAGCUUGGGAGGGGGAAAGGUGCUCGGGGAUGGCGGAAGGAUGUUGGGUACAACAUGUCGUCUCUUUUCCUCUCCAGAUCCAUCUUCCUGGGAAGAACCUAAACGUCGCCUUUGAACUCGAGAGCAACUGUGCAUUUGUUGAACCAUCUAGAAUUAGAAAAAAGCUACGGAUUCAGAAGCCGGUUUUGAGGAUGGAAAUUACCCACCUGUGUGAUCAAAGCAAUCCAACAAAGUCAUUUCGACACUCUGAAAAGGAGUUCACGGACUUUUCUUUGCUGAAAUGCAGUGUGUGAAAAAGUUUAAACUAAACUGAGUAUAUCUUUGCAUAUUUGU